CAGGUUGGCCGGGUAAUCGCGCGCCUGGAUGACAGGUGUGAGGAAAGUCCGCGCUCCACAGGGCAUGGUGCUGGCUAACGGCCAGGCGGGGCAACCCGACGGCAAGUGCAACAGAGAAGUGUAUUGCCCGCAAGGGCGAGGGUGAAACGGCGGUGUAAGAGACCACCGGCGUCGGCAGUGAUGUC
rnacentral:RNase_P_RNA from 1 species